rnacentral:lncRNA from 1 species
GGGUAAGCUAUUCUACUAUAUAUAUUUUAUCAUUUAAAAUUUGCACACUUCAAGUUUUACUUUCGCCAUCAUUUUCGUUUAUUAAUUUCUUUCUACCAUUCUCUUCCGUAAUGGGUGUCCAAAACUAAUUUUUCUACGAUAAAUGGUUCAUUAACUCCUUUUGUGGUUGUUAAAGUGAAAAAUGUAGUGGGUGAUGCCAAAUAUCCUGGUGGAGGCUAUGGAGGAGGGUACCCUGGCGGUGGCUAUCCCGGUGGUGGUGGUGGUUAUCCUGGUGGUGGUGGUGGUUAUCCUGGUCGUGGUGGUGGUGGGUAUCCUGGUCGUGGUGGUGGGUAUCCUGGACGUGGCGGUGGCUAUCCUGGUGGUGGUGGUUACCCUGGGCGUGGUGGCAGUGGCGGGUACCCAGGGCGAGGAGGACGGUGUCGCUAUGGCUGUUGCGGUGGCCGCACAUACAAUGGAGGUUGCAGAAGGUGCUGCUAGUAAAGCUGUGAA